rnacentral:rRNA from 1 species
GACGAACGCUGGCGGCGUGCUUAACACAUGCAAGUCGAGCGGUAAGGCCCUUUCGGGGGUACGACGAGCGGCGAACGGGUGAGUAACACGUGGGUGACUGCCCUCAGCUCUGGGAUAAGCCUGGGAAACCGGGGUCUAAUACCGGAUAUGACUCCAUGACGCAUGUUGUGGGGUGGAAAGCCUUGUGCGGCUGAGGAUGGGCCCGCGGCCUAUCAGCUUGUUGGUGGGGUGAUGGCCUACCAAGGCGACGACGGGUAGCCGGCCUGAGAGGGCGACCGGCCACACUGGGACUGAGACACGGCCCAGACUCCUACGGGAGGGCAGCAGUGGGGAAUCUUGCGCAAUGGGCGAAAGCCUGACGCAGCGA